rnacentral:rRNA from 1 species
ACACUCCUGCGGGAGGCAGCAGUGGGGAAUAUUGGACAAUGGGCGCAAGCCUGAUCCAGCCAUGCCGCGUGAGUGAUGAAGGCCCUAGGGUUGUAAAGCUCUUUCACCGGUGAAGAUAAUGACGGUAACCGGAGAAGCAGCCCCGGCUAACUUCGUGCCAGCAGCCGCGGUAAUACGAAGGGGGCUAGCGUUGUUCGGAUUUACUGGGCGUAAAGCGCACGUAGGCGGACUAUUAAGUCAGGGGUGAAAUCCCGGGGCUCAACCCCGGAACUGCCUUUGAUACUGGUAGUCUUGAGUUCGAGAGAGGUGAGUGGAAUUCCGAGUGUAGAGGUGAAAUUCGUAGAUAUUCGGAGGAACACCAGUGGCGAAGGCGGCUCACUGGCUCGAUACUGACGCUGAGGUGCGAAAGCGUGGGGAGCAAACAGGAUUAGAUACCCGAGUAGUCC